rnacentral:rRNA from 1 species
UACAGAGGGCGCGAGCGUUGUCCGGAAUCACUGGGCGUAAAGGGCGCGUAGGUGGCCACUAUAAGGCCGCGGUGAAAGUUCGGGGCUCAACCCUGAAUCUGCCGCGGCGACUGUAGGGCUAGGGCACCGUAGAGGCAGAUGGAAUUCCGGGUGUAGCGGUGGAAUGCGUAGAGAUCCGGAAGAACACCGGUGGCGAAGGCGGUCUG